GACGAACGCUGGCGGCGUGCUUAACACAUGCAAGUCGAACGGAAAGGCCCUGCUUUUGUGGGGUGCUCGAGUGGCGAACGGGUGAGUAACACGUGAGUAACCUGCCCUUGACUUUGGGAUAACUUCAGGAAACUGGGGCUAAUACCGGAUAGGAGCUCCUGCUGCAUGGUGGGGGUUGGAAAGUUUCGGCGGUUGGGGAUGGACUCGCGGCUUAUCAGCUUGUUGGUGGGGUAGUGGCUUACCAAGGCUUUGACGGGUAGCCGGCCUGAGAGGGUGACCGGCCACAUUGGGACUGAGAUACGGCCCAGACUCCUACGGGAGGCAGCAGUGGGGAAUAUGGCACAAUGGGCGGAAGCCUGAUGCAGCAACGCCGCGUGCGGAAUGACGGCCUUCGGGUUGUAAACCGCUUUCGCCUGUGACGAAGCGUGAGUGACGGUAACGGAUAAAGAAGCACCGGCUAACUACGUG
rnacentral:rRNA from 1 species